rnacentral:rRNA from 1 species
UACGUAGGGAGCAAGCGUUGUCCGGAAUCAUUGGGCGUAAAGCGCGCGUAGGCGGCCCUGUAAGUCCGCUGUGAAAGUCAAAGGCUCAACCUUUGAAAGCCGGUGGAUACUGCAGGGCUAGAGUCCGGAAGAGGCGAGUGGAAUUCCUGGUGUAGCGGUGGAAUGCGUAGAGAUGUGGAGGAACACCGAUGGCGAAGGCAGCCCCCUGGGCUAACACUGACGCUCAUGCACGAAAGCGUGGGGAGCAAACAGG